UUUGGAGUGUGUAUGCUCGAGUGCAAGUGGUUCCCACAAAUGCCUCCUUCUUUUCCCUCUUCCUUGAGGACACACUGCUACUAUCCUUCGUGGCUACAAACUGCCCAAGAUUCAUUGUGCGCCCAAAGAGAAGAAACAAAUAAAUAAAUAAUGGUGACCUCAAGAGGUGCAGAUCCCGCAUUUAAAUGGAGUCUGGUUCACCCAAGGAAGGAGCAACCAUCCAGCCAUUGGAUUCCUUGAAGAGAGGCUUCGGAACAGCAGAGAGAGGCUGAGAUCGCAGAGCAGCUCACGCAGCCGAGACCGCCACAAAGCAGUGAAGAAGGCGCCUGUAGGACACGCAUACCAGAAAGAGCCAUACAGUUUAAAGACUGGCUGAGACACGUGACAUGACAGUUCGCAGCCCCUCAGCAAGGUGGAGCUAUACGUGCUGGAUACAGCAGUGUACAGGUCCAAGAUGAUCAGGGGAAACAAGUGGGACAUCCAGGAGACCUGCCAAGAGUUUCUGUAUCUACUCACUCCAGGCAUGAUUGCUUGGGGGAACUGGCCCUGAGCCAGCUACCAAUGCUACUUCCACCAACAGUGUACAAAGCUGACACCAUCAAGGAGUCCAAAUUGGCAUUUAUCGACCAUAAGCCUCCUCAACCACUCGGGGAAUGGGCCUAAACCCAGCCAUCUCACACUUUGGCAGCUGUCACCCAAAAGUUGGUUAGUUACUCAGGAAGAAGGAAUGGAAGUUGAUGCUCCUCCAGAUCCACCUCCACCUCUGCCUGGACUUGGGAAAAAAAGGAAGAAGCAGAAGAAGAAGGAAAAAGUGGAGGGGUCGUAUGACAUUCCCCAUGCCCAUAAUGUGGAAGGAGGAGGGAUCUUCUGAUG